CACAUCCAUCAAGUCAUGAAAUUAUCUCCCCUCAGAUGGCUGUGGAUGAGGAACCCAAGCAAGCAUUUCGAGCUCCUAUUGAUGAUACUCAGGACCUCUUUGCUGAUUCACAAAUAAGUGGCUCCAAAGAUGAGCUCCCAGAUGAGAAACCCAACAGUCCUCUUGAAGAAGUUCUGGCACCAUCCUUACUUGCUUUGAACCUGAAGCUUGAUUCUGUUCUUCCUGAG